CUCUUCCUGCUGCUCCAGGCAUGAGAAGUGCUCGCUCCCUCUUUGCCUUCCGCCACGUUUAAUGAGUCGCAUGGCUUCACACAGGUGUCAAGGAGCCUGGCAAGCUCCCUGCUGGGAGCCAUUUACCAGCUGCAACUCCACCCUACGGAAGAGAGAGUAGGCAUCUGGGUGGACAAUGAGUUGUUCCUGCCACCAGGAUCUUAUGUUUAUUCACUGCCAUGAUGACCUGAAUUAUUUUGGAUAGAAGACACUUCAGGAUUCAAUAGUAUAUGUUUUUUCAUUCCUUUAUUUUCAACCUCUCUGAAUCAACAUUGGAUUUUGAAGCCCCAUCUGAGUAUUUGCCAUUUAUCACUCUGGGAGAAGUCCUGAUUACAAAGAAGUUUCAGCAAUUCAGUGGAGCACAAAAACUGAGGAUGAACACAUAGAAAUGCAUGGAAAGCAAUUGUAUCUGUGUCACCCCAUCUCCCAGUCUGGCACACCUUGGCUCCAAAAGGAUCCCCUUGGCUGUGACUGUCCCUCAUGGGAGAAAAGGAGAGCAGGAUGACUCCAGCAGCCUCAGCCACCACAGACAUCUGCCUCUUUUACCCUUGAGGACUUCAACAGUUUUCACAGAUGCCGAUCCAAGCCAAUGGGCCUGCGUGGAGUCCACACCACUGCACCUACUCUGAAGAAGAAGCCACCACUCCAGCCUUGGCACCACCAUGCCUGCACUGUACCCUCAACUCUGACACCAGGAGGGAUCCCCUUGGUCAUAACUUCCCCCAUGAGGGAAAAAGGAGAACAGGAAGAUCUGCAUCCGCCUUCACUACCAAGACCCCACAAUCUUUGCCAACACUAACCCAAGCUGACUGCUUGGAGUCCACAGCAUUGCACACGCACCCCACCCCCAGGGCCAGAGUUAUCGGUGCAUUCUCCUAGAGCCAAAGCCACCACACAGAAUCCAGCCACCUCCCUCACACUCAACCAUAGGUGAGGGUGUUUCCCCACCAAAGCCAGUUAAUAAAGACUGGAAGAGGUGAUUUCUUCUUCAAAUGCACAGACAUUAAUGCAAGACUCCAAGGAACAUGAAAAAUCAAGGAAACAUGACACAACUAAAGGAACAUAAUAAAUUUCCAGUAAGUGGCCCCAAGGAAAUAGAGAUCUAAAACUGUCUAACAAAGAAGUCAAAAUAAUUGUUUUAAAGAAGAUCAGCAAACUACAAAAGAAGACAAAUAGGCUGGGCAUGGUGGCUAAUGCCUGUAAUCCCAGCACUUUGGGAGGCCAUGGUGGGUGGAUCACCUGAAGUCAGGAGUUCGAGACCAACUUGGCCAACAUGGUGAAACCCCAUCUCUACUAAAAAUACAAAAAUUAGCUGGGCAUGGUGGUGCACACCUGUAAUCCCAGCUACUCAGGAGGUAAUCCCAGCUGGCUCAGGAGGCUGAGGCAGGAGAAUCACUUGAAUCCGGGAGGCAGAGGCUGCAGUGAGCCGAGAUUGCACCACUGCACUACAGCCUGGGCGGCUGAGUGAGACUCCAUCUCAAAAUAAAUAAAUAAAAGAACACAGAUAGACAACUCAACAAAAUGAGGGGGGAAAUACAUGAAUAAAAUGAGAACAAUAAAGAGGUAGAAAUUAUAAAAACAACCAAACAGAAAUUAUGCAGCUGAAGAAUUUGAUGAAUAAAAUGAAAAAUGCAAUAGAAAGCCUUAACAGCAGACUCAAUCUAGCAGAAAAAAGAAUCUGUGAACUUGAAGAAAGGACAUUUGAAAUUAUCCAGUCAGAGACAAAGAAGAAAAAAGAAUUAAAAAGAUUGAAGAAAGCCUAUAAGAUUUAUGGGACAUAAACAAGCAACCCAGUAUAUAUAUUAUGGUAUUCCAAAGAGAACAGAGAAAGAAAAGGGCAACAGGCUUAUGUGAAAAAUAAGGUCUGAAAAAUUCCCAAAUCUUGAGAGGAAAAUGGACAUCCAGGUUCAUGACUCCCAAAUCACCUCAAAUAGGAUCACACAAAUUAAGAAUACUCUGAGACACCUGAUAAUUAAAUUGUCAAAAUUUAAGGACAAAGAGAGCAUUUUGAAAGCAGCAAGAGAAAAGUUGGAACCCCCUACUAGCAGAUUUCUCAGCAGAAACCUUGCAGGCAAAAAGAGAGUGGGAUAAUAUAUUCAAAAUACUGAAAGGAAAAAAAAAAGCUGUCGACCAAGAAUACUAUACCCAGCACAAUUAUCCUCUUUAAAUAGAGGAAAGAUAACGUGUUUCCCAGACAAAAACUGAGGAAGUUCAUCACCACUAGAUUUGCCUUAAGAAAUGCUUAAGGCAGGUCCUCAAAUUGAAAUGAAAACACACUAAACAACAACACAAAUCAUAUGAAAGCAUUAAUCUCACAGGUAAGGGAAAAUAUUUGGAUAAAUAUAAAAUAAUAUAAUAGUUGUAAUGAUGGUGCACAAAUCACUUUUUGCCCUAAUAUAAAAGUUAAAAGAUAAAAAUUUGUUAACAGAUACCCGGUAUAAAAAGCAAACUUUACAGGCAUGAUGGCACACACCUGUGGUCUCAGCUACUUGGGAGGUUGAGAUGGGGGGAUCACUUUAGCCUGGGAAGUGGAGGUUGCAGUGAGCCAAGAUCAUGCCACUGCACUGCAGCCUGGGUGACAGAGUGAGACCCUAUCUCAGAAAAAAAGAAAAAAAAAAGCAAACUCUUUCUACAAAAACACAAAGAGGGGAGAACAAAAGUGUGGAGUUUUUGUAUGUAAUUAAAUUGUUAUCAACUUAAAGUAGACAAUUAUAAGAUAUUUUAUGUAAGCCUCAAGCUAAUCACAAUGAAGAAAAAGCAAUAAUCGAUACAAAAAAGAUAAAGAGAAAAUAAUGAAAGCAAAUCAAUGCAAAAAAUCAUGAAAUAAAGGAAAACAGCAAAAGAGGAAGAGGGACAAAACAACCACAAAACAGACAGAAAACCAUUUACAAAAUGACAAUAGUAAGUCCUCACCUAUCAAUAAUUAUAUUAAAUGUAAAUGAAUUAAACUCCCCAGUCAAAAGGCAUAGAGUGGUUGAAUGGACUUAAAAAACAAGAUCCAGUGGUACGGUGUCUGCAAGAGAUUCACAUAAGCUGGGCAUGGAGCAUGGGGAAGUCAAGGCUGCAGUGAGUCAUGAUCACACCACUGCACUCCAACCUGGGUGACAGAGUGAGAUCCUGUCUCAUAAAAAAAAAAAAAAAAAAAAAAAAACAGAAGAAAGAAGACAAUUCGAUUCACAAUAGCAACAAAAAGAAGAAAAUACUUAGGAAUGAACUGGUAAAAGACUUGUACGCUAAAAUUUAUAAAACAUUAAUGAAGGAAAUGAAAGAAGACACAAAAAUGGAAAGAUGUCUGUGUUCAUGGAUUAGAAGAUAGAAGAAUUAAUACUGUUUAAAUGUGCAUACUAUUGAAAAUAACCUACAGAUUCAAUGCAAUCCCUAUCAAAAAUCUCAAUGGCAUUUUUUAUAGAAAUAAAGAAAAUCCAAAAAUUCAUAUGGAACCACAAAAGAUCACAAAUAGCCAAAACAAUCUUGAGCAAGAAGAACAAAGUGGGAAGCAUCACACUUCUUGACUUCAAAAUAUAUUAUAAAGCUACAGUAAUCAAAAUAGAAUGCUUUACUAACAUUAAAAAAGACAUAUAAACCAAUGGAACAGAAUAGAGAGCCUGGAUAUAAAUUCACACAUCUACAGUCAACUGAUUUUUAACAAAGGUGGCAAGAGCACACAAUUAGGAAAAGAUAGUCUCUUCAACAAAUGGUGUUGGGAAAACUAGAUAUCCGCAUGCAGAAAAAUGAAAGUGGAACUUAUCUCACACCGUAUACACAAAUCCACCCCAAAGGGAUUAAAGACUUAAAUGCAACCUCUAAAGCCAUAAGAUUAUUAGAGGAAGACAUAGGGGAGAAUCUUCCUGAUGUUGGUCAGGGCAAUUAUUUUUUAGAUAUGACACUGAAAGCACAAGCAACAAAAUAAAAAUAGACAAUUGAAAUUGCAUCAAACUGGCCAGGUGCGGUGGCUCACACCUGUAAUCCCAACACUUUGGGAGGCUGAGGUGGGUGAGUCACAAGGUCAGGAGAUCGAGACCAUCCUGGCUAACACAGUGAAACCCUGUCUCUACUAAAAAGACAAAAAAUUAGCUGGGCGUGGUGGCAGGCGCCUGUAGUCCCAGCUACGCAGGAGGCUGAGGCAGAAGAAUGGUGUGAACCUGGGAGGCAGAGCUUGCAGUGAGCCGAGAUCACACCACUGCACUCCAGCCUGGGCGACAGAGCAAGACUCCAGCUCAAAAAAAAAAGAAAGAAAAUGCAUCAAACUAAAAAGCAUCUGUGCAGCAAAGGAAACAAUCAACAGAGUGAAAAGGUAACCUACAAAAUGGAAUAAAGUAUUUGCCAACUACAUGUCUGAUAAAGGAUUGAUAUUCAAACUAUAUAAAGAGCUAAUAAAACUUAAUAGCAAAACAAAACAAAUAACGUGAUUUUAAAAAAGGAAGAAGGAUGUAAAUAGACAUUUUUCAAAAGAAAACAUACAAAUGGUCAAUAGGCAUAUGAAAAGAUGUUCAAUAUCGCUAAUUAUCAAGGAAAUGCAGAUGAAAACCACAAUGAGCUAUCACUUCACACCUGUUAGAAUAGCUACUAUAAAAAAGACAAAAGAUAAGUAUUGGCGAGGAUGCAGAGAAAAGGGAACUCUUGUAUACUGUUGGUGGGAAUGUAAAUUGGUACAGCCAUUAGGGAAAACUGUAUGGAAGUUCCUUCAAAUAAUAACUACUUUAUGAUCCAGCUUCUGGCUAUAUAUCCAAAGGAAAUGAAAUCAGUAUGUCUUCAAGGUAUUUGCACUCCCUUGUUCAUUACAGUACUAUUCACAAUAGCCAAGAUAUGGAAGUAACCCCAAUAUCCAUUAACAGAUGAAUAAGGAAAAUGUGGCACACACACACACACACACACACACACACACACACAAUGGAAUAUCAUUUAGCCUUUAAAAAGAGAAGGAAAUCCUGACAUUUAUGACAACAUGGAUAAAUGUUGGACAUGGAUAAAUGAGGAGAUUAUGCUAAGUGAAAUAAGUCAGACACAAAGACAAAUACUGCAUGAUCUCACUUAUAUGUGGAAUCUAAAACAGUCAAGCUCAUGGAACUACAGAGUAGAAUGUUGCUGCUAGAGGCUGGGGGAGGGGUAAAUGGUGAGAUGUUGGUCAAGGGACACAAAGUUUCAGUUAUGCAGGAUGAAUGAGAUCUAGAGAACUAAUAGACAUAGUUAACAAGGACAUAGUUAACAUAGAACAUAAUUAACAAGGCUGUAUUAUAUGCUUGAAAUUUGCUAAGAACUGUAAAUCUCGUUUUCUCACCCCUCCCAAAAAAGAACAAGAAAAGAUCAUGGUAAUGAUAUGAAAUAAUAGAUACGUUCGUUAACUUGAUUAUGGUGAUUAUUUCACAAUGUAUACAUAUUUCAAUAUAUUAAGAAGUCAUACACUUAAAUAUAUACAAUUUUUAUUUGUCAAUUAUUCAUCAGUAAAGGUGCAAGGAAAUAUUCAAUAUUUUUUAAGUUAAAGGAGAACAAAAUAAAUACACAAAAAUUAGAUGGCAGUGCUCUUGAAAUGGGUGUGGGGAUGUGUGUGGAGAGGGUGGGUGCUGCGUGGGGCUUGAGUGGGGCCACCCUGCUUGUGUCCAGCUGGGCUGAGUGAUUGUCUAAGGCCACAGCAAUUACACACACUCCCUAAGGGAACUCUGUCUACAACUAGGCAGAAAUGAUGGGAACCAUGAAUUUGAUGGUAGGCCAUGAAUUUGAUGUCUUUAUUUGAUGUAAGCCUAUUUGGCUGCUGUUAAGUAUUGGGUUUUUCUUAUAACCUCCAGUAAUUAGAAAUAAAUGAGGACUGUAGGUACCCUCCCACAAAACCCAGCCAGCAGAUGGUGCCUUACAAGGCAAGCAAGCUUCAGACUGAACUCUACCACACCUAAAACAUCAAGCUGGAUCAAAGAGUCAGGAACCUGUUCUUGAAAGCUCAGUGGAGCCCCAGCUCUCUGACCCUUAGGCAGUCUACUAAAUGUCUUGCAUGAGGGCUCAUCCCCGGUAGAUAAAAUAUUCUAAGGGGUGGAUACAGUCAACCUUCUAGCUAAAUCACAUGGCAGAAUCCUCCACUACGUGGCAGGAUGUGGGACCAAAUCACAGUUCAAGGCCAUGAAUGCUACUCUGCUAUACCCACAGAUAUUACACCUGUAAAUCAAAAAGUGUCUGAGACAGGUCUCAAUCCAUGCUGAAGUUUAUUUUUCCAAGGUUAAGGACAUUCCAGUGGCACAGCCUCAGGAGGUCCUGCGAACAUAUACCCAAGGUGGUUGGGCUACAACUUGGUCUUACAUGUUUUAGAGAGACAUAAGAUAUCCAUCAAUACAUGUAAGAUGUACGUUGCUUCUGUCCAGAAAGGCAAAACAACUCAAAGGGGUGGGUGUGGGGGGACUUACAGGUCAUAGGUGGAUUCAAAGAUUUCCUGAUUGGUAAUUGGUUGAAAAAGUUUAUCUAAACACCUGGAAUCAAGAGAAGGGAGUGUCUGGGUAAGAUAAGAGAUUGUGGAGACCAAGGUGUUUAUUAUGCAGAUGAAGCCUCCAGGUAGCAGGCUUUAGAGAGAAUAGAUUGUAAAUGUUUCUUAUCAGACUCCCAGUUAAUUCUCUCCUGAAUCAGGAAAAUGACCUGGAAAGGGAAGGGGAUUCUCUACAGACCAUAGAUUUUCCCCACAACAGAGAGCUUUGCAGGGCCAUUUCAAAAUGUGUCAAAGAAAUACAUUUGGGGGUAAAAUACUUUGAUUUCUUUUAGGGCCUGCUGUCUGUGAUGUUGGUAUCUUAUUGCUACAAAGAGUCUGCUUUGUCACUCUUUUUUUUUUUUAGAUGGAGUCUCGCUCUGUCACCCAGGCUGGAGUGCAGUGGCGCGAUCUCGGCUCACGGCAAGCUCCGCCUCCCAGGUUCACGCCAUUCUCCUGCCUCAGCCUCCCAAGUAGCUGGGACUAUAAGCGCCCGCCACCACCCCUGGCUAAUUUUUUGCAUUUUCAGUAGAGGCGGGGUUUCACUGUGUUAGCCAGGAUGGUCUCGAUCUCCUAACCUGGUGAUCUGCCCGCCUGGGCCUCCCAAAGUGCUGGGACUACAGGCGUGAGCCACUGUGCCCGGCCUGCUUUGUCACUCUUAAGGUCUCUGUGUUGAUAUCAGCGGUGCUCAGCUGUGCCUGAAUUCCAAAGGGAGGAGGCCGUAAUGAGGCAUGUUCAACCACCCAUCUCCAUCAUGGCCUGAACUGGUUUUUCAGGUUAACUUAGGAAUGCCCUUGGCCAAGAGAAGGGGUCCAUUCGAUUGGUUGGGAGACUUAGAAUUGUAUUUUUGGUUCACAUACUUUUGUUCAUUCAAGGGUAGAAGUGCCUGUACAACAUUUUUUCACCAAUCCACUUAUUUUGAACGACUAUUCCACAGUAUAAAUAAUUUCCUCAGGAAAAUUACUUAUAACAUCUGUUAGGCUAGCAAGCCUUCUAAUGAAGGUCAAGUUAGCUGAGGCAUAGAUGUUGAUGAACUCUGAUUUGUCAUUUUUAAAAAUAACUAAAAACUCAAUUUAUCCAGGGUUCUGGCAGAAAUAGCACACUCAAACUGAGUAAUUUGGAGAGAGUUUAAUAUGAAGAAACCACAAGGGACAGUGCAAUAGGGUGGGGCUGGCAACACUGAGCUGCUGUUACCAUGUCAGAGGUAUUUGAGCCACAGCAACUCCAUCUUAAAUAGGAGCUGGGUGAAAUGAGGCUGAGACCUACUGGGCUGCAUUCCCAGAUAGUUGAGGCAUUCUAUGUCACAGGGUGAGGUAAGAGGUCAACACAAAAUACAGGUCAUAAAGACCUUGCUGAUAAAACAGCUUGCAGUAAAAAAGCCAGCUAAAACCCACCAAAACCAAUAUGGCGAGGAGAGUGACCUCUGGUCAUCCUCAUUGCUACACUCCCACCAGCGCCGUGACAGUUUACAAAUGCCAGGGCAAUGUCAGGAAGUUAUCCUAUAUGGUCUAAAAGGGGAGGCAUGAAUAAUCCGCCCCUUGUUUAGCAUAUCAUCAAGAAAUAACCAUAAAAAUGGGCAACCCGAGGGCUGCUCUGUCCAUGGAGUAGCCAUUUUUUAUUCCUUUACUUUCCUAAUAAUCUUGCUUUCACUUUAUGGACUCACCCUGAAUUCUUUCCUGCUCAAGACCCAAGAACCUUCUCUUGGGGUCUGGAUCAGGACCCCUUUCCUGUAACAUCUUUCUGGUGACCACAAAGGGAUUAUAGUGUGAAAACCCCCUUCCCAAAGCCUAACUUUGGGUAAGUGGUGGGGUCUGGUAACAUCUUUCUCACUAACCCUGAAGGCACAAUACUAAAGAAGCCCCAAUACUAAAGAAGCCCCCGACCCAAAAAAAAUAGACUACAGCACUGAUUGGAUGGCUUUGGGUAAGUGGGGCGCAUUUACCCGGGUAAAGGAUGGGGCUGGGUUAGAGGCCCAACUUAGGGGAGUUAGAGCCUCUCCUAAGACAGAGCAGGUUAGAGGCCCUUCUUAAUAAAAGGCAAGGGCACUUGACUAGCCUUGGGUUAGAGUCCUAACUUAGGAGGGUUAGAGUCCCUUCUAAUAUUUAGGGGGUUAAAGUCCCCUCUCAGAAAAGUCCCUCUCGUAAAGUCCCUCUUGGCUAAGAAUGGGUUUGGCCCUACGGGAUGUUAACUGCUUUUCUCUUUGGAAUAAUCUGCCUUUCGCUCUUUGCUAAUGGCUGUGGGUGACAGGAUUAGGCAUGUACAGCAUUGUGGUACACGGGGAACUUUUUCCUCCCUAAAAGGGGGAACUUAAGAGCUGAUGAGACUGCAGGAAAAGAUCCCUUCACUACUGACAAGCAGCCACCUGAACUUUUCAGCGUUGCUGCAAUGGGUGGUUUUUUCUCUGGGCUCUGUGAGCGUCUCGCCUCCCCCACCCUGCCUCAGGCAAUGCUUUCCUUUCUGUCUCCCUCUGUCUCUCUGCAAACUGGUUAAAUGGUAAAAAUCACUGCUUGUCUCCUCUGUAAAGUUUUGAUUAAUGGGAAAAAGGAUUUGUGAGGCUAGUCGUAAGCUGCAGCAAAUUUGGUGUGCUUUGUGUGUCUUUCUAUAUUGUUCUGCCACAAAGAGGGGUAACUUAGGAUAGAACAUGGGCAUAGGACACCUGUAAGCCCGCUUUUCAAGAUGGCCCAGCAAACUGGUCAGUUAUGUCCUUGGGAGCUUGACCUUGUAACCAUAUGGCCGUGCUUUCUCUUUUCAGAAUGGUGGCCUGGGUUCAAGGUUUGAUUCGUGUCUUAGGGAUGAGUCCUUUAUUCUCUGUCUGUGUAUUUAUAUAUGUUGCAUAUGUGAUAUAAAAGAGCUUUGAUUAAUUGGUUUAAAAAUAAUAAGCGCUUAAAUCAAAUAUUUUAUGAGAAAAGUAAAAAGUGUAAUGUCUUUUAGUUCAUGUGACUUAAGUAAUCUUUGAGAAAUAAAGAUAGUUUUAAAAAUAUUGGUAAAAUAAAGACAUUUGGUCUAAAGUUAAAUAGGUCAAAUAUUAAGUUUACUUAAUGCUUUAAGGUCAUAAACUGCUUCUUUGACUUUUGAAAAUUGUUCAAUUUACCUACUUUGGCGCAUUAGUUCUAGAUAAGGCCAGGGACAUGUGGAGUUAGCCACACCCCCUAGCUAUGCUGGAGUCAGCCCUCAUCUGCACUUCUGCCUGGUGUGUCCUGAGCUAGGCUCCACACUUGGCACAUGAUUAAAAUUGCUUCCUAACCAGGUUUUUCACCAGAAGUAAAAGUUGCUAAGGGUUAACAUUGUAACGUGUAAUUAAGACUACUGAAGAAACAGUUCUACCUGUAAGGCAUGUAAGGAAAGCAGAAUGUGUUUUUGGUAAAAGAUAAUAAGAAGUCAUGGGAAUGUGG
rnacentral:lncRNA from 1 species